rnacentral:rRNA from 1 species
GAUGAACGCUGGCGGCGUGCCUAAUACAUGCAAGUCGAGCGAACGGACGAGAAGCUUGCUUCUCUGAUGUUAGCGGCGGACGGGUGAGUAACACGUGGAUAACCUACCUAUAAGACUGGGAUAACUUCGGGAAACCGGAGCUAAUACCGGAUGAUAUUUUGAACCGCAUGGUUCAAAAGUGAAAGACGGUCUUGCUGUCACUUAUAGAUGGAUCCGCGCUGGAUUAGCUAGUUGGUAAGGUAACGGCUUACCAAGGCAACGAUGCAUAGCCGACCUGAGAGGGUGAUCGGCCACACUGGAGCUGAGACACGGUCCAGACUCCUACGGGAGGCAGCAGUAGGGAAUCUUCCGCAGUGGGCGAAAGCCUGACGGAGCAACGCCGCGUGAGUGAUGAAGGUCUUCGGAUCGUAAAACUCUGUUAUUAGGGAAGAACAUAUGUGUAAGUAACUGUGCACAUCUUGACGGUACCUAAUCAGAAAGCCACGGCUAACUACGUG